rnacentral:antisense_RNA from 1 species
CUUCACCCCGCCCAGCCAGGCCGGCCGAUCGGCCGGCCGGUCCCGGCCGUAGGUGGCGAGCAGCGCCCGGGCCUC